rnacentral:rRNA from 1 species
CCUCGGGAGGCAGCAGUGGGGAAUAUUGGACAAUGGGGGAAACCCUGAUCCAGCAAUGCCGCGUGGGUGAUGAAGGCCUUCGGGUUGUAAAGCCCUUUUGGCGGGGACGAUGAUGACGGUACCCGCCGAAUAAGCCCCGGCUAACUUCGUGCCAGCAGCCGCGGUAAUACGAAGGGGGCUAGCGUUGUUCGGAAUUACUGGGCGUAAAGGGCGCGUAGGCGGUCUGCAUAGUCAGGCGUGAAAUCCCUGGGCUUAACCCCGGAAUUGCGCUUGAUACUGGCGGGCUAGAGUGUGGGAGAGGGUGGUGGAAUUCCCAGUGUAGAGGUGAAAUUCGUAGAUAUUGGGAAGAGCACCAGUGGCGAAGGCGGCCACCUGGACCACAACUGACGCUGAGGCGCGAAAGCGUGGGGAGCAAACAGGAUUAGAAACCCGUGUAGUCC